UUAAUUCACUCAAUUAACAUAACUACAGAAACGCAAAAUAGGGCGAAGAAUGCACAUUGUAUUUCAUAUUUUUUAAGGGAAUAUUAUAUUCAGAUAUAUUACAAUGCACCCGAAAAUAUGAAUGAAAAGAAUGAAUACACGUUUCUCACAUAUACAAAGAUGCGCAAAUCGUGAGGGAAAGUGUAAAUUUCCAGCUGUUUCUCUGUUUUGGUUUGUUGACCAUGCUUUCAUACUCAUAACGCCUGCGCAAUUUCGACAAAAACACCGGAAUCCUCAGACGUGAUGCUAAAUAUUUUUUAUUUUCCCAUUGAUAUUGAUGUGAAAAGUUCAAAAAACAAUUAAGCAUAUGAAUAUCGAAGAGACAUAAAACAUUCAGAUAGGAGUGUUCGAUUAUAUACUUACAUCUACGGAAAAACUUAUAAAGAAAAAUGAAGAACAUGCCGCCAUCGACGGGCGAAACACUCAGAGCUUGGCUUCUUUCGGCACUCGUAGUGCAUGGGGCAGUGGCUGGAAAUCCUGAUGCUAAACGACUAUACGACGAUCUCCUGAGCAACUACAACAAACUAGUUCGGCCUGUAGUGAAUACAUCAGAUGUGCUACGAGUGUGUAUAAAAUUAAAAUUGUCACAGCUGAUUGACGUGAAUUUGAAAAACCAGAUUAUGACAACUAAUCUUUGGGUAGAACAGUCCUGGUAUGACUAUAAACUACGCUGGGAGCCUAAGGAAUAUGGAGGCGUGCAAAUGCUACACGUACCAUCAGAUCAUAUAUGGCGUCCAGACAUUGUGCUAUACAACAAUGCCGACGGUAAUUUCGAAGUGACGUUAGCGACAAAAGCCACAAUAUAUUCCGAAGGUUUAGUUGAAUGGAAACCCCCUGCCAUAUACAAAUCAUCAUGUGAAAUUGAUGUAGAGUAUUUUCCUUUUGAUGAACAAACAUGCGUAUUAAAAUUUGGAAGUUGGACAUAUGAUGGUUUUAAGGUUGAUUUAAGACAUAUGGAUGAACAGUCUGGAAGCAAUAUAGUGGAUGUAGGCGUGGAUUUAUCCGAGUUUUACAUGUCUGUAGAAUGGGAUAUACUCGAAGUUCCAGCCGUGAGGAAUGAGAAAUUUUACACCUGUUGCGAUGAACCAUAUCUCGAUAUAACUUUCAAUAUCACUAUGCGACGGAAAACUCUUUUCUACACAGUAAACAUUAUUAUACCAUGUAUGGGUAUAUCAUUUUUGACCGUAUUAACUUUCUAUCUUCCAUCGGACAGUGGAGAAAAGGUCACAUUAUCUAUUUCCAUUUUGAUUAGUCUCCAUGUGUUCUUCCUUUUGGUUGUUGAGAUCAUUCCGCCAACAUCAUUAGUCGUGCCUUUACUAGGAAAAUACUUGAUAUUCGCUAUGAUUCUGGUUUCAAUAAGCAUAUGUGUUACUGUUGUUGUUCUCAAUGUCCAUUUCCGUUCUCCACAAACACAUCGAAUGGCACCAUGGGUCAAAUCGUUUUUCAUAGAUUUUCUACCACGAUUCUUGUUUAUGAAGAGGCCAGCGUACAUCGAAAACCAUAGAAAAUUGUUAUCAAAAGACCCACACGCUUGCUUUUAUCCUUAUUAUUCGACCACCACAUUAAAUCGUGUAGCUCGUUUUCAUAAUAGGACAUCAUCAAAAGAUGAUAUUUCUCCGUUGAGUCUAUCAGGAACGGGACCAUUUGGCGGAAGCUGUCAAAUUCACGGACCACUUCAAGUUCCACACUCAGAGUCGGAGGAUUUAUCCUUAUCUACAGCAGCUGACACAGCAGUACCAUCUGGAAUCAAGAGUCCAGUUUUUAAACAGCCCCCAUACUCACAUGUCAAUUGCCCUGUAGAGAUUCAUCGAAGCUGCUUCUGUGUGCGAUUCAUUGCGGAACAUACGAAAAUGCUGGAAGAUUCAACAAAAGUCAAGGAAGACUGGAAAUAUGUUGCAAUGGUAUUGGACCGUCUAUUUUUGUGGAUCUUUACCUUGGCUGUUUUAGCGGGUACUGCUGGAAUUAUUCUACAAGCUCCGACAUUAUAUGAUGAUCGAAUUCCUAUUGAUAAGACAUUCGAUGAAUUGGCCACUUCGACAGUUGUUCGUUGUCCACCACAAUAGCAAACGAGGAUUAGCUCAGAAACAAUGUUGAUUCUUUUCGUGUGUAUCAUUGGAACGAGUGCCUGUGUUUUUAUGUAUGAAAAGGUGUUCAACGGUUAUGGUUCAACCAGUCGUGUAUACGGUUGUAAUUGUGGGUGUCGCAAACAUCUCUGCUUCCUGCAAUUACAACAUGCGACCCUACAUAACUAUUAUACAUUUCAUACAUAGACGAAUAUGGCUUACGUGGAACAAAUAUGAGAACUGCAGUGUGAAAUGAAACAGACAGUAUUGUAACAUCGAAAUGUAUGUUGUAGCACUUGUCCAGAAUCUAACGACUAAUUUUAAUUUAAGGUGUAGUAGAAAAUAGCUCUUUUAUCUAAUAACAUUGAUAGUUAACAUUUAAUAUAAGAUAUACAGGAAAUUGUAGAAAGUCGAUUGAGGCCAACCAUAAUUCAUCAUAAAGAUAAUAAUAAAUUAAUGUAACAUUCAGAGACGAAUUAAGCUUUAGCUAUACAAUACAACUCUCAUGAGAUCAGAACGUAACACUACUAAAAAAAACAUAUUUUCUGAUGAUCAAGAGCUUGAAUGAAAUGUAUGUAAAGAUGUGUUUUCUUUUAAUUUAGUGAACGAUUUAUAUUUCUUAAAAAUAUUUUUAUAUUGAAGUACACACAUGAAAACCUAAAUUCAAAUUGAAACUGCCACUUGAUUGUGAUAAGAUAUCGUAGGAUCUAUGGCACAGUAUUAUCAGUAUUUCGUGAACUUGUAUCGAGUUCAAUGGAAAUCGGCAUAAGUUCAAAUGAUCCAAAUGAUUCUGUUAUAGUGAUAAAUAUUAUCUGAUUCCAAUUUCAUGAGAGUUAACGUGUUAACAAAUCUCCGUGAAUAGAUAUUAUAUAUUUAGAGUUUACAAUAAAUUAAAGAUGGAAAUUAGCACCGCGUAAGUAAAACCUACACUUUAAUCAAACAAAAAUGCCCACAAUUAAAAUCCAGACCAUAAAUUAUGAAAAUAUAAACAUGGAAAUCGGUGUUGAUUGUUGAUAAUAAAA